rnacentral:snoRNA from 1 species
ACUGAGGGAGAUGAUGUGUUCUUCUGUGAAUACGAGUAUGAUAUUCAUUGGCACACUUUCAAGCGCCUAGCACAUGC